GCGGGUGUAAUUCAGUGGUAGAAUGGCAGCUUCCCAAGCUGUUUAUGGCGGUUCGAUUCCGCUCACCCGCU
rfam:Omnitrophica WOR_2 bacterium RIFOXYB2_FTLL_45_11 rifoxyb2_full_scaffold_9646, whole genome shotgun sequence.